rnacentral:rRNA from 1 species
UACGUAGGGUGCGAGCGUUAAUCGGAAUUACUGGGCGUAAAGCGUGCGCAGGCGGUUUUGUAAGCCAGACGUGAAAUCCCUCGGCUUAACCGGGGAACUGCGUCUGAUACUGGAUGGCUUGAGUUCGGGAGAGGGAUGCGGAAUUCCAGGUGUAGCGGUGAAAUGCGUAGAUAUCUGGAGGAACACCGGGGGCGAAGGCGGCAUCCUGGACCGACACUGACACUGAGGAGCGAAAGCCAGGGGAGCAAACGGG